AAAAAAACUAAAAGCAAAUCCUCCUUCAUGGGAGGAUUUGUUUUUUUCAUUUGCAAAUGAAGCAUCAUCUCUCCUAUCAGAAAAUACAUCUUGUAAAGCCUGAUGAUGAAUCCUGCAAAGGGGCAGCGUCAGAGGAGUGAAAGCCUGAAGAAGACAUAUUGGGAACAGGAGAAGAAAGACCACGUGGAGGAAUACAGGCUGCUAAGACGUCUGACAUGCUUUCCAUGUUGAAACUGCAUAGCCAGAGGAGUACGGUCCCUUCGGGUAUUCAGCUUUCAGAAAGACCAAGGUGUGAUAUUUAUGAAGUUUCCAAAAUUGGCAGCAAGAGAAAGUACAAUAUUCUGCUGAACUGA
rnacentral:lncRNA from 1 species